AAGGAGCCGGUAUCAAGUAGGGUGGGAUUUAACAAUUUAAACUGAAAAAAUACAAACCUUAUCAAUUUGCCAAGCAUUGUAAACAGUGCCAUCAGCAGGAGGCAUCACAUUCAAAGUAACAUCAUAGAGGGCUUGUGAAGAAGCACUAAUAGUGACAGACCAUUGAGAGUUAUGAUCAGCUCCAUUGUUGUUGGCCCAAGAGUUUUGUAGUGUUUGUGUAAUUGUAACGGUUUUCAUACAAUCUGUAUAAAAAGAAGUUAAAUCAUUUGAGAUCCAGAUACCGCUUGAGGUGCGUACCAUUAUAAGCACAGAGGUCAUUUGGUCCACCAACUGAUAUAAUACCACUUGUGUUGACACUAACAAAGUUGGUGUGAUAUGGAACUGAAGCAGAAACAACAAUAGGUACUAGUGUGUUGGAUGGCACUUCACAUCCCUCUA
rnacentral:rRNA from 1 species